UGUUCUUUAUUUUGAUUUUAUCGGAAAUUAAAACGAUUGUAUAUUUUUUAGCUUGGCGGCGCUAGUGUCGCUUUAGAUCAUUCUCGAAGUCUGUAAAAGUUUUUUAUUCGAAUUGACCAAUCACGUACGAGAUUGUCACGUGUACUUUUGCGCAUGCGCAUGACGGGACUGAAAACUUGACACUAGACGCGACAAGUAAAAACAUGUUACACUGUUAAUAUUAGGGCAGUGUAGCAAGACAUGGACGAAGAAAGGUUAAAAAAUAAUAACCCGUGGACGAACUUGUCAACCUUAACAACUUUUGACAGAGGAAAUGACGCGUGGAUAAGCCACUGCACGCAGAAAGCUGCUCAAAUACAAACUGGCGGAGAAAUUGUUCGUCGGGUUUUCCCUUCAACGAGUUUUCUUAUCGAAUCUUUAAUUCAACAACUAUGUGUGAUGUUCGAGGAGGACUCAGUUCGCAGGAAAAGACUCUAUAUCAAAAUUUGCAACAAACUGCAUCAGAUGAAAUUAAUCGAUGGUUCAUAUAACAUGGCAGAGUUUGACACAAUCCGCAGCCAGUACCAAACGGCACUGUGCCAACUGGUAUCGGUUGCAAGAGCUUCGACGGGAAGUGACAAUGCUUUAGGACUUUCUGGACUAAUGUUCGGAUGGUCCCGCUACUGUAGAGAAUUUGAAGAAAUCGAAUUCAUCGCUCGUGGUGGAUUCGGUUGUGUUUAUAAGGCCUUACAUAGAUUAGAUGAUACCGAGUAUGCAAUAAAAAAAAUCGUAGUGGAAUAUAGCAGAAUGAAUACCAUUGUACAACAUUUAGAAGAAGUUAAGACUAUAGCGAAACUCAAUCAUAUGAAUAUAGUGCCAUACAAAAAUGCUUGGAUUGAAAUGGCAUUCCCAUCAACUUUUGGUCCAAAUGUUGUAAGUUAUGAACAGAGCAACAGAGACCAAUUACAGCCAUCUUCUGAGAAUAACAAACAAGCCGACUAUUAUUUAACGAAUCAUCGAAUGCUCAGUUCGUCGAUUUCUCAGUCACUGGAAGAGAAUUCCUUCCACAUGCGUCAACAAACCGUUGAAAACAAUCAAUCUCAACAAACUGAAGAAAUGAACUCUGACGUUGUAUCUUUUAAGUCUAGCUCUAAUAGAAACAAUAUAUUUAGUCACUUUAAGCAACAAGAAUCUUUAGUUACAAAUAGCAACGAUAGUGAAUCAGAGGAAGAAUCUGUUAACGAUGGUCAACUGUGCCCAUACAAUUCUGGAAAGAAUAUCCAGUAUGUAACAUUGUAUAUUCAAAUGGCACUUUGUGAGAAGACGUUAAGGCAGUGGUUAGACAAAAGACAGGAUUUUACCCCACAAUCAGUAAUAUCCUCCAUAUUCACACAAAUAAUCCGUGGAUUGGAAUAUAUUCAUUCUCUUGACAUCGUUCACCAUGAUAUAAAACCUAGCAAUAUUUUCGUGUCUUCAUCAGGACGUUUACAAGUUCAAUUAGGCGAUUUUGGUCUCGCUUGUCCAUUACAAGGGGGAACUCAUUAUUCCGCUAUCGGUACGCAGAUGUAUGCAGCACCGGAACAAUUGCAAGGCAAAUGUAGUUCUAAGUUCGGGAAUCGUCCUUUUGGAAUUGCUAAUUCCCAUGCAAACCAAGAUGGAAUGCAGUCGCACAGUUGACGCAUUUAAAAAUGGACAGAUACCUACUACACUCACCGCUAGAUAUCCAAAAUGGGCUUCUUUAGUCAGUCGAUUAAUACAAUUUGAUCCAAACAAUCGUCCAUCUACUCAUGAACUCUUGCGAGAAUUAAGUGAUGAUAAGGACUCGAUAAUAUCAAGACUAAAAAGCGACAAUGAAGAAAAGAACGUUACAAUA
rnacentral:misc_RNA from 1 species